rfam:Bacteroidales bacterium Barb6XT Barb6XT_contig_90, whole genome shotgun sequence.
GGGGCUGACCGGUUUUGACAGCGGGCAGAAGUGGUUUGUAAGCAUGUAGUGCGUUGUCGGCUUGCACUUAAAUCUCAGACGGCGAACUUUAUCUGGCGAAAACAAUUACGCUCUCGCUGCUUGAUCGAAGCAUAGUAGAUUAAAGCUUAAUCCCUGCAAUAGUUGCGGGGACGUGACAUCACCCGGAUGCUGUUGCUCCGAAGCGUUCCGAAUUGGUGGUGCAGCAAUAUCGGAGACCGCUUGAAGCAAGCCUCGUGCUUCAGGUUAAAAACAGAGGAUAAGGUUAGAGUGGGUAGCUUCGGUCUUGCUCUCUCCCGACAAUCAAAGCGGAGAUAAACAUGUAGAAAGCAAAUUAGUUCCUCGUUUGGACGAGAGUUCGAAUCUCUCCAGCUCCACAA